rnacentral:rRNA from 1 species
AUUGAACGCUGGCGGCAUGCCUUACACAUGCAAGUCGAACGGCAGCACGGGGGCAACCCUGGUGGCGAGUGGCGAACGGGUGAGUAAUACAUCGGAACGUGCCCAGUCGUGGGGGAUAACGUAGCGAAAGUUACGCUAAUACCGCAUACGAUCUCUGGAUGAAAACGGGGGACCGCAAGGCCUCGCGCGAUUGGAGCGGCCGAUGGCAGAUUAGGUAGUUGGUGGGGUAAAAGCUUACCAAGCCUCCGAUCUGUAGCUGGUCUGAGAGGACGAUCAGCCACACUGGGACUGAGACACGGCCCAGACUCCUACGGGAGGCAGCAGUGGGGAAUUUUGGACAAUGGGCGAAAGCCUGAUUCAGCAAUGCCGCGUGCAGGACGAAGGCCUUCGGGUUGUAAACUGCUUUUGUACGGAGCGAAACGGCUUCCACUAAUACUGGGGGCUAAUGACGGUACCGUAAGAAUAAGCACCGGCUAACUACGUGCCAGCAGCCGCCGUAA